rnacentral:lncRNA from 1 species
GCGACUUCCCUGGCCCUCCCCCUGCGGACCAGUGAACCUCGCCCGAGGGCUCAAUAAAGAAGAUUUUUGCCCUCUUUUUCUCACCUCUCAGCCUUAUUGAUCCAUGGUGCCCUUCCAUUGCCUUUCAUUGGUGCCGAAACCCGGGAGGGGACACCUCCUAAGCCCCCCCAGAGGCUCAGGGGGACUCCCCUCCUGGUCGGAUCAGUCCUCUCCCUCAGUCAGGUCAGGCUUCUCCUCCACGGCCAUCUGUCCAUUUCGUCCGGUUACUUGCUGCCAGGUCGCAGUUGCUGCAGCUACUCCAGUCCAAUUCGGCCGACGCUAGAGACAAAUGAAGACACUCGACCAUCUCUAAAUGCUACCAAACACAUAGAGUCUACUCUGAAUGCAGAUACUGCUCUCAUAAAAAUUCUGCAAAGGAGGAAGGGGUUGGUGCAGAACUGUUCCGAUGCUGGAAAAUGGGAUGUCAUCAAAGCCCUUUGAGAAAAGGAGGGAUGUGAUCAGAUUUGUAAUUUUCAAAGAUUUCCUGAGGUGCUGUGAAUUUUACAGAUCAACUGAGAUGCAAAACCCAUGUUCACAUCAUGAGUGAGUCUUCUAACUCGGACAAUGCAAUCAACAAAUUCUAAGACCAAAUUCCGGUGGCACUGGCUCCAAAGGCCUUCCUCCUUCUCUCCCCUCUAUUUCAGCUCCUGAGUGUGGAAGGAGGUGAACAGGGAAAAGCAGAGAGGACAAAAGUCACAUCCCCUCCCCACAGACCCAUACUGGGGAAGGGUGGAAGAUUUAGCUGCGAGUCAAGUUCAGAAUUUUGAUUAACAUCUUGGCAUGCACAUUCGAAUUUCAGAAUCAAGACUGUUGGCCAUAAAAAAUGACUAUAGCCUUGUGUAUUACCUGAACUGAGCAGUAAAAAAAAAGUCAUGGUC